GCCUAGGGGCGCAGCAGUGAGGAAUAUUGGUCAAUGGGCGCGAGCCUGAACCAGCCAAGUAGCGUGAAGGAUGACUGCCCUACGGGUUGUAAACUUCUUUUGUAAAGGUAUAAAGUGAGGCACGUGUGCCUUUUUGUAUGUACUUUAUGAAUAAGGAUCGGCUAACUCCGUGCCAGCAGCCGCGGUAAUACGGAGGAUCCGAGCGUUAUCCGGAUUUAUUGGGUUUAAAGGGAGCGUAGAUGGGUUGUUAAGUCAGUUGUGAAAUGUUGCGGCUCAACCGUAGAAUUGCAAUUGAUACUGGCAGC
rnacentral:rRNA from 1 species